GCCAGAGCUUUAGAGGAACAUCACCUAAGUGUUCACUUCAGCUUCACAAUAAUUUCGGCUGAAAAAACCGCGUAGGACGCAAGCUCCAGGAGAAGACUACCUUUUUAAGUGCCUGAAAAGCAUCGCCGAACGAAGAUUUGUUGGAAAAGUUUUAAAAGAUACAUUUAAGAUGAAAGGAAAAUACCUGGUGGUCUUGUUCCUGCUUUUAGCAACUGCAGCCCCCACUACAACUGCAGCCUCCACUACAACUGCAGCCCCCACUACAACUGCACCCCCGACUACAACUGCAGCCCCGACUACAACUGCAGCCCCCACUACAACUGCAGCCCCGACUACAACUGCAGCCCCCACUACAACUGCACCCCCGACUACAACUGCAGCCCCCACUACAACUGCAGCCUCCACUACAACUGCAGCCCCCACUACAACUGUAGCCCCGACUACAACUGCACCCCGCAAUAACACUACAGCAACGACUACAACUGUAGCCCCAACCAGCAGUGCCAUGGCAACAAACUCACCCCAGGAAGUCAUCACUUUUCUGUUUCCUCUUCUUCUGGUCAUUUACAGUCUGUCAGCAGAUAUGAGGCUGCCUCAGCUUUAGCCAGAUAAAUAACCCUUUAUGAUUUAGACCCUUGAUGCUACUCUCUGAUGUGUCAUUUAUUUUAAUAGAUUUCUCAAGAAUUGCUGCUCCUUCACUGAGUGCCUCAUUGAGCUAUUGAUCAGGGAAUCAAAGUUAUUUAUCCAUACGGGGUCCAAAAGUCUGAGAAAAGCUGGUGGACAUUCUGAAAUGAAUGUCAUAUUUUGAAAGAUUUGACUUUUAACUCAAAUUCUUAUGCUGAUAAUAUAACUAGUAAAGAAAAACUUUGUAUUCAAUUUGAAAAGAAUGCAUUUUCACUUGUGGUCUCAGACUUUUGGACCUCACUGUAUAUCAUAUGUAUUAUUUAUUUUUUUCACACUUCUUGUAGAGAAAAGAAAGCUUUUAAUAUUGGAAUCCAGACAGACAAUGAAAUGAAACAGUUUAAGUCAAAACGGUUUAAAUGGAGAACUGCACCCAUUUUGUAAGAUCUUUCUCCUCAUCUCAUCUAGAUGAUUAUAUAUCUUUGGAUGAUCUCUAAAAAUGUGAA